CGUCUGUAGGACUGGGAGACGAAGAGACUAAAGACACGGAUCACAGAUCAGAGGGAACAUCUCUGCUUGUCUUUCCCUGAGACAUGACGGGUCAGUGUCGCUCGUAAAACUGCAGUAGAACCGUUUUUUCAAAAAACAAAAAAAAUAGACAACGAGGGUUAUCUUCAUAUGGUGGGGGUUGUCUCGGUUAGGAGAACGAUUCCAUGGUCUUGCUAAGAAAAGACACGCGCGCAUGCAGUACCGGCCAUUUGUUAGGUUGUAAUAAGCCAUCAGGCUGUACACUCAUGGACCAAUAGCUGGGUGAGUUGAAUAGCAGGACUGACUGGUCUGUGGAGUGCUCAGAUGGGUUUUUCUGCCCCGUUAGCAUAUGGUCACAGGCCGGACCACUCAGGGGGGUUUUGUCAUUUGUUGUAUUUGUUUUUUUGUCUCCAUUUCUCCGGGCCGAAGUGAAAGGGCUGUUCACACUAGUGGGCCAGUGAGGAGAAUUACAAUAAUGAGGUCUGGCUACGGUCCAUGGGUUCACACCCACACACACACACACACACACACACAUUUUAAAUGCUUUAUUUGAAUCCACAAAUCAAAUUUACAUUCAAAUAGGCUUCGAAACAUUACAAAGGUCAUCAUGUGCUUCGAGACUCAAGGACACAAAUAGGACCCUUUUCUUCAUAGAGUUAGGCUGCCAAUGACCUCUGAUUCACACACACACACACACACACACAUACAUACAUACACACAUUUCCAAUUAGAAAUCCAUGCAGGUGUCUAUAAGCUUUUCUUGUACAUGCAAUAUAAAUAGUAAAAAUAUCCAUGUUUUUUCUACUUUUUUUCUAUUUUAUUUUAUUUGCAUACUUUGUUUUAUGUGGCCAUCAUUUUGUGUACUUCAUAGUUCUAUAUUGUGGAAUGUUUCUUUGUUUUGUUUUUGCUUAUCCUUAAUCCGUCUACAUAAAGAGCUGUGCUGGGUGGCCAAGUAAUACCACUGUACACACAUGAGGUGGCCAAACAUAUAGCCAACUGUGUUGAAUUUAAAACAGGGAGAGAGUUCGCGGUAGCCAUAAAAUAGGACAUAAUAAACAUCAUAAAGUGUAGCUAAAACGAAUCACUAGAAAAAAUCUACGGCACUUAGAAUAACCUGAGCUAAUACAUACAUUAAUGGUAUUUAUGCUGUUUAUGUUGAAGCAAUUAUGGCAGAAGUGUCUGGAUUGUAUUUAUUUCUGAUAGAAUCAUACACAUCUCCUACGCCAAUAGAUUUUGUUGCUGUUGAAAUGUGACUUGGUCCAUAACCGUGGUCCAUGACUGUUUCAGAAAUGAUCAGUGUUUAAACAGCUUGUCCAUUAGCAUGGCAGGCUACAGAUACAGUUACAGGUCUAUUUACUUUGGGUAGCCAUCAGGUUGAAUCAGGGAGCCAGGCACUGCUGAAUCAGGGAGGUGGGCUCUGUCUGAAUCAGGGAGGUGGGCUCUCCCUAUAAGGGAUGCAAAGAGCUGUGUAGAGUAAGAAAACUGCAGGAACCCUAUAACACUACAUUUGAUUAAUGAAAAUGUCUUCAUUUUUUCUUAUCAUCUAUGCUCUACCUCUCUAGAACCCUUAUAAUGUCAAAAGUCCAGAAUGAGCAGCACAUUCCAAGUGUUCAUUUCACUGACAUUCCUUUUUAUACUGCCCUUUUAUUUCAAAAGGAUAAUAAAACAACGCAUAUUUUCAUUAAGCUACUAAGUAUGAGAUUGAGAUUUGCCUAUGAGUAAGCUGAAGUAGCACAUUCCUGUCCAAAAUAAAGGGAGGAAAGUAUCUGACGUCAUAUCAGUGUUCUUCCUGAAGUCGGCCUGUUAACAGACACGGCUGAGGGACUUGUGAGCUGUAUGUUAAAAGUGGGUUUGAAUUCCAGCUCUGAGGCUGGUCCCUUGUGAAGUUAGACCAAACACUGUGCCGCCCUAUUGAGUAUUCAUCCCCUCACCCCUCCCUAAAACUAGAAGCUUCCGUGAGCUCCUCCCCUGUGAAUGAUGGCCGAUGAAAACCAGUUCAAAACCCCUGUGAUAUAUUUAGCAAAGCAUAAUUGUGUCACUGAGUGUUGGCCCAAAGAAAAGAAAGUGAAGAGUAGAAGGGAUGAUUAAAUGCUAAUUGAGCUCCAUUCAUGCAAUAAUAUACUACUGAUGUCCAUGACAUUUCCAAUAUGAAUGUCCUGGUUGCUCUUGUCUGCACGAACCUAGUCUUCCCUAAGCCAAUGUGUUGUAGACCUAUGAAAGUGGACCCUAUAUACUGAAUACUGUACAUGUAGAUCUAUUCUAGCCCCCAGUGUCUUAGUACUUAGCUAUAGCAGGUAGACCCUGACUGAAAGUACAUAACGAUGACUUAACGAUGUCAUAUAGCCGAACACAAUCUUGUGUAUGAUGUAGAGGAUACUUUAGAAUGUCUUGUAAUUCAUUUCAACUAUACUCCCAAGUUACAGACUACUAUAAUUAGAAUUGAUUGUAAUGUGUAUAACACUGAUACGUUUAUUGCUGCUACACCAUUUGUGCCCUACUCGAUGUAUGUGUGCAAUAGUACCAUGCAGUUUGUGUCACAGUUUAAUGUUAUCAAUUCAAUGUUUAUGGAAACAAAAAGCAUACUAAUGAAGAUGUUACAAGCAGGACAUGUUGAAGAAAAAAACAAAAAAAAACAACAACCAUGAUAUCAUGUUCCAGAUAUUAUUAAAGGAAACCUGU
ensembl:lncRNA